AAAGUUUGACUAGACGGGCAGGAAAACUAAGGCUAGCAUCGCACCAAUCUCGAAGCGCGAGCUACCCCCAUUCCCAGGCCGCCGGCAGGCCCCAUCGCCGGUGCCGUUUCUCCGCCGCCGCCACCGGACUUGGCCAGGGAGAAGGCGUCAGGUCGAUCUCCGCGAGGUUCUACCAUCACGCAAUCCUGCCUUGCCUCUGGAUCAGCAGCUUAAAGUACGAGUAAGCUGAUGGAAGCUGAAAGAAGCCAGCUCAGUCAAAUCGACCCAAGAAGAGCCCGCUUUCCUUGCUGCAUAGUAUGGACUCCCAUACCUUUCAUCACAUGGCUGGUACCGUUUAUCGGUCAUAUUGGCAUUUGCAGAGAAGAUGGUGUAAUCCUGGACUUUGCUGGUCCAAAUUUCGUGUCAGUUGAUAACUUUGCUUUUGGAGCUGUUGCACGCUACAUUCAAGUAAAUGGCGAUGAGCGCUACAAGCUUCUUGGCACUCAAGUAGAGGCGACAUGGGACGAUGCUCUGAAGAAAGGUGUGCAGGAGUUCCAGAACAGGAGCUACAACCUGUUCACCUGCAACUGCCACUCCUUCGUCGCGAACAACCUGAACCGGCUCUUCUACUCCGGCCACGACAAGUGGAAUGUGGUCAGCCUGGCUGCUGUGAUGUUCCUGCGGGGCCGCUGGGUGAGCACCGCGUCUGUGGUCAAGACCUUCGCGCCUUUCGCCGUGGUGCUCACUCUCGGGGGUCUCCUUGGCGGCAUGACGUUCCUGGUGGGCCUGCUUGCUUUUGCGGCCGCUAUGACCGGAUGGUUCCUUGUUGGCACCUACUGCAUCAAGAGUCUUAUAGAGUUGUAACUGGAAUGUAGCGGGCCUGGGUUUGGAUUCGGGACUUGGGGUUCUCCUUGUGAUUAAUGACCAUAUUGAUCUGGAGGUUCUAUGUGUGCCGCGGCUGUCUGCUUGUUCUGGUCUUCAGCUCAGGUAGGUACAUAUAAAUCAUGGUGGUCUUUGGCCUAACCCAAAAGUUUACGCUGAACAUUCUCAAACGUCUUAUAAUAUGGAACCGUCUGAUAGAAAACAACAUUCUGGGUCUUGCUUUUCCGAUGAAUUGUGUAACUACUAUUUGUUUGAUUAUCUUGCAAGACAAACUGCUAUGACUGGGGCGUGGGAUUUGUUCCUCUCCCUUCUCCAUCACAUUCUGUGUUCAGAAAUUCCUGCAAAAUUCCAUACUGUAGUUCAGAGAAUCUGGCGUGGAGGUCCAGGAUAUAAAAAGGCCGAAACUCAACCCGUGCUUAUAGACUUGAGUAUACUCGAUCUGUUAUUAUUUA